rnacentral:rRNA from 1 species
UGGGGAAUUUUGGACAAUGGGGGCAACCCUGAUCCAGCGACGCCGCGUGGAGGACGAAGGUCUUCGGAUUGUAAACUCCUUUUGGAGGGGAUGAAUGCCUGCGUGAAAAACGCAGGGUGACAGUACUCUCUGAAUAAGCCACGGCUAACUACGUGCCAGCAGCCGCGGUAAUACGUAGGUGGCAAGCGUUACUCGGAAUCACUAGGCGUAAAGCGCAGGUAGGCGGUUCGGUAAGUCUCUUGUGAAAGCUCCCGGCUCAACUGGGAGAGGUCAAGGGAAACUGCCGGGCUAGAGUGUGGCAGAGGAAGCUGGAAUUCCCGGUGUAGCGGUGAAAUGCGUAGAGAUCGGGAGGAAUACCUAUGGCGAAAGCAGGCUUCUGGGCCGUCACUGACACUGAUCUGCGAAAGCUAGGGGAGCAAACAG